GGGUUGUGAGGUUAAGCGACUAAGCGUACACGGUGGAUGCCCUGGCAGUCAGAGGCGAUGAAGGACGUGCUAAUCUGCGAUAAGCGCCGGUAAGGUGAUAUGAACCGUUAUAACCGGCGAUUUCCGAAUGGGGAAACCCAGUGUGACUCGUCACACUAUCAUUAACUGAAUCCAUAGGUUAAUGAGGCGAACCGGGGGAACUGAAA
rnacentral:rRNA from 2 species